UAAAACAUUUUACAGUUAUAGUAAAGGCGAUUGAAACAUCUUUUUGGAGUAAUAUUUCUAGUACCGCAAGGGAACAAUGAAAUAAAAAUGAAAUAACUAUCAAGCACCUAGUAGUAGAGACCUCCCCUCGUACCUUUUGCAUCAUGAUUUAACUAGUUUAUCCAAGCAUAAUGCACUAAAGUUUGCCCCCCCGAAACUAAGCGAGCUACUUCGAGGCAGUUCCAGGAACUAACCCAUCUCUGUAGCAAAAGAGUGGGAAGACCUUCAAGUAGAGGUGACAGACCUAACGAGCUUAGUGAUAGCUGGUUACUUGAGAAAAGGAUCUUAGUCCGACCCAACUUUUACAAAAUACACCUAAAUAAAAACUAAAAUUUGGAGUAAUUCAAAUAAGGUACAGCCUAUUUGAAUCAGGAUACAACCUUUUUAAAUGGGUAAUUAAACUUUUAUGUAAUAAAGUAGGCCUAAGAGCAGCCAUCUUCAAAAAGCGUCAAAGCUUAUUCACUAAUCAACUUAAUCCCCCUAAUUUUUAAAACCCCUUAAUCUCUAUUAAGUAACUCUAUAAAAUUAUAGAACCUAUUAUGUUAAAACUAGUAACAAGAAUAAGAACUUCUCUUUAAUGCAAGUGUAGAUCAGGCUGGACAAACCACUGAUUCUUAACACUUUGAAGCCAGAGUAAUAACCUACCAAGAAAAUCUUACUUCACUAAAUGUUAACCUGACACAAGAGCAUUCUCAGACAGAUUAAAAGGAAUAGAAGGAACUCGGCAAAUAUUAACCUCGCC
rnacentral:rRNA from 1 species